CACACACACACACACACACAGAGCGCCUUGUCUUGUGCUUCUGAGGAAAGAAUUAUUUGAAUUUUCUUAUUAUAGGAGCUUCUUGCUCUUAUUGGGAGGGGGAGUUACUUCUCUAAGGCCAAUCAUCUGUAAAUGUCUUAUGAUGUUUCACUUAUGAAUUGCAAGCCUUUUUUAUCUUCAUUUUCUGUGAAGAACAACAAUGUCAACAUGAAUAUGGAUCCUUUUGAUUUUCUGGGAAGUUA
rnacentral:misc_RNA from 1 species